rnacentral:rRNA from 1 species
UACGGAGGGGGCUAGCGUUGUUCGGAAUUACUGGGCGUAAAGCGCACGUAGGCGGCUUUGCAAGUCAGAGGUGAAAGCCCGGGGCUCAACCCCGGAAUUGCCUUUGAGACUGCAUCGCUAGAAUUGUGGAGAGGUAAGUGGAAUUCCGAGUGUAGAGGUGAAAUUCGUAGAUAUUCGGAAGAACACCAGUGGCGAAGGCGACUUACUGGACACAUAUUGACGCUGAAGGUGCGAAAGCGUGGGGAGCAAACA